CCGGGGGCAACCCUGUGUGCCCGAAUUAACUAUAGUAUAUACCAUACCUACCAAUACCUACCAAAAUCCAGAAAAGAAAAAAGUCUUGAAAAAAAACAGCUCAAAAUCAAAAAAUCUCACAAGAUGUUCCAAAAAAAUUGUAGACCACCCGAAAAUUCAGUCUACAGAUUGCGCAAGACAAAUAUAUCUCUUUUUAUGAACAAAUUGUUCCACACGAGGGUAUACUUGUCUUAACCCUGAAAUCUGAAAAUAUUUCAAAUAUGUUCAGGACAAGGUGCGUGGCAAAUGAAUCCAAUGACCCAACAUAUUUUACGAUAGUUUGUAAAAGCUGUUAGGACACUUGGAUGCAUUUUGAAGAUGUGAUGUGUGCAUUUCUAUAUAUUUAGAUUUUGGCGCAUUUUGCUUUAAUCGCCGCGGCGCAAGAAAAUUGCAACGCGCGCACUCAAUUUAAAUUAGCAUGCACUGGUUUUCAUGCGCUUAAUUUUAC
rnacentral:lncRNA from 1 species